rnacentral:rRNA from 1 species
AUUGAACGCUGGCGGCAUGCCUUACACAUGCAAGUCGAACGGCAGCACGGGGGCAACCCUGGUGGCGAGUGGCGAACGGGUGAGUAAUACAUCGGAACGUGUCCUGUAGUGGGGGAUAGCCCGGCGAAAGCCGGAUUAAUACCGCAUACGCUCUACGGAGGAAAGGGGGGGAUCUUAGGACCUCCCGCUACAGGGGCGGCCGAUGGCAGAUUAGCUAGUUGGUGGGGUAAAGGCCUACCAAGGCGACGAUCUGUAGCUGGUCUGAGAGGACGACCAGCCACACUGGGACUGAGACACGGCCCAGACUCCUACGGGAGGCAGCAGUGGGGAAUUUUGGACAAUGGGCGAAAGCCUGAUCCAGCAAAUGCCGCGUGUGUGAAAGAAAGGGCCCUUCGGGUUGUAAAAGCCACUUUUGUCCGGAAAGAAAAACCCCGUGG